GGGAGUUUCUCCCGUCACCUUAACCCCCACAGGUGUUUUCAAUCGGUGUUUUGAGGCUUUAUUUCCCUACACUGGGACCCUGGGUUGCAUGGUCUGUCUUGUUCCCCAGUUUUGCCUGGUUUAUUUGUGUGCGAAUGUGGGACAGCCUGGUCUACCAGGCUCCUUGGGUGCCUCAC